rnacentral:rRNA from 1 species
GACGAACGCUGGCGGCGUGCUUAACACAUGCAAGUCGAACGAUGAAGAAAAGAAUUGAAGCUUCGGCAGAAAUUCAUUUCGGAUUAGUGGCAGACGGGUGAGUAACGCGUGAGCAACCUACCUCUUACAAAGGGAUAGCCUCGGGAAACCGGGAUUAAUACCAUAUAACAUUGCGACGAAGCAUUUCGAUGCAAUCAAAGCUACGGCGGUAGGGGAGGGGCCCGCGUCCCAUUCACCAGACGGUGAGGUACCGGCCCACCAUAGUAACGAUGGGUAACCGGGCUGAGAGGGUGAACGGUCAGACUGGAACUGAGACACGGUCCAGACUCCUACGGGAGGCAGCAGUGGGGAAUAUUGCACAAUGGAGGGAACUCUGAUGCAGCGACGCCGCGUGAGUGAUGAAGGAAUUCGUUUCGUAAAACUCUGUUCUAUGGGAAGAAAAGGACUGUACCAUAGGAGAAAGCGCCGGCUAAAUACGUG